GACGAACGCUGGCGGCGUGCCUAAUACAUGCAAGUAGAACGCACAGUUUAUACUGUAGCUUGCUACACCAUAAACUGUGAGUUGCGAACGGGUGAGUAACGCGUAGGUAACCUGCCUGGUAGCGGGGGAUAACUAUUGGAAACGAUAGCUAAUACCGCAUAAUAUUGAUUAUUGCAUGAUAAUUGAUUGAAAGAUGCUAUUGCAUCACUACCAGAUGGACCUGCGUUGUAUUAGCUAGUAGGUGAGGUAACGGCUCACCUAGGCGACGAUACAUAGCCGACCUGAGAGGGUGAUCGGCCACACUGGGACUGAGACACGGCCCAGACUCCUACGGGAGGCAGCAGUAGGGAAUCUUCGGCAAUGGACGAAAGUCUGACCGAGCAACGCCGCGUGAGUGAAGAAGGGUUUCGGAUCGUAAAGCUCUGUUGUAAGAGAAGAACGGGUGUGAGAGUGGAAAGUUCACACUGUGACGGUAGCUUACCAGAAAGGGACGGCUAACUACGUG
rnacentral:rRNA from 1 species